rnacentral:snoRNA from 1 species
AAGACGAAUGACAACAGAGUGUCAUGAAUCAAAGAUUAGGAUUAAUACACUUCUGUGCACCUGGGUCCAUU